GCCGUUUUCCCGCGCCCUUUCAGACUCGCCGGUGGCCGACGACAAGUGGCUGUCGGCGCUGGAGGGCACCCGCUGGCUGGACCACGUGCGGGCCUGCGUGAGGAAGGCGAGCGAGGUGGUUUCCCUGCUGGCCGCGAGACGCUGCUCCGUCGUCUUGCAAGAGCCGGAGGACCGCGACCUCAACUGCCUGCUGGCCUCGCUGGCGCAGCUGCUGGGGGACCCGCACGCCCGCACGCUGCCCGGCUUCCAGAGCCUGGUGCAGAGGGAGUGGGUGGCCGCGGGACACCCCUUCGCCCGCCGCCUGGGCCUCGGCCGCCCCAGCCCGCGGGACGAGGCGCCCGUUUUCCUGCUUUUCCUGGAUUGCACCUGGCAGCUGGUGCGGCAGUUCCCCGGCUGCUUCCAGUUCACCGAGAGCUACCUGCUGGCACUGCACGACAGCAGCUUCGUGCCUUACUUCAGCACCUUCCUCUUCAACUGCCAGUGGCAGCGGGGCCGGAGCGGCCAGGUGAGCGGCGUCCCGGCAGCGCCGUGCCUCGGUUUCC
rnacentral:lncRNA from 1 species